UGCAAGUCGAACGGAGAGCAGCAAUGUUCUUAGUGGCGACCGGGUGCGUAACACGUAGCUGACCUGCCCCCCAGCGGGGGACAACUGCUGGAAACGGCAGCUAAUACCGCAUGAUAGGGCGAGCAACAGAGGCUCGUUCUUAAACUUACGGGGCUGGGGGAGGGGGCUGCGGCCCAUCAGGUAGUUGGUGAGGUAAGAGCUCACCAAGCCGACGACGGGUAGGGGGCCUGAGAGGGUGGUCCCCCACACUGGGACUGACACACGGCCCAGACUCCUACGGGAGGCAGCAGUAAGGGAUAUUGCGCAAUGGGCGAAAGCCUGACGCAGCAACGCCGCGUGCAGGAAGAAGGCCUUCGGGUUGUAAACUGCUUUUGGUACUGAAGAGAGCGGACGGUAGGUAUCGAAGAAGUCACGGCUAACUACGUGCCAGCAGCCGCGGUAAAACGUAGGUGGCAAGCGUUAUCCGGAUUUACUGGGCGUAAAGCGUGUGCAGGCGGAGCACCAAGUGGUGUAUGAAAUAUCCCGGCUCAACCGGGAGGGGUUAUGCCAGACUGGUGCUCUUGAGGGCGAGAGAGGGAGGCGGAAUUCCGGGUGUAGUGGUGAAAUGCGUAGAGAUCCGGAGGAACCCCA
rnacentral:rRNA from 1 species